AUGUCCCAGAGACCCCACAUGCUCCUGCCCAAGGGUUUCACCUGCAUCUUCUCAGACAGAGGGUAUUACAAAGGCAAACCUGGUCCUUCUCCCUUUGCCUCAAGUUUGUUUCCUCCAUCCUCUCCACCCCAGCCCCUCUCUUUCCCUCAUCCCUUCCUUUCUCUCCCUUUCCAUCUUUUUUUCCCUACUCUCUCCUUCUUUCUUCCUCUUCCUUUCUCCCCUUUUUUCUCUCUUCUUUCCCCUCUCUUUCUCUCUAUUCUUUCUUUCUCUCCCCCUUUCUUUUCUCUUUCUCCUUUUUCUUUCUCUUCCCUUCAUCUUUUUCUCUCUUCUCUCCCUCCCUUUCUCACUCUCCCCUUCCUCUUAUCUCCUCUCUGUCCCUCUUUUCCCUCUUCAUCUUUCUUUCUCUCCCCUUUCUCAUUUUCUCUUCUCUUCACCUUUGCUCCCUCCUCUCUUUUUUCCUUUAUUUUUCUCCCUUUCAGCAUUUCUCUCCUCUCUCUUCCUCUUUCCCCUUCAUCUUUUUCUCUUCUCUCCCUCCUCUUUCUCCCUCUCCCUCUUCCUCUCUCUCCCCUCUCUUUCUCUCCUUAUUCACCUUUUCUCUCUCCUCUCUCUCCCCUUCAUCCUUUCUCUCCUCUCUUCCUUUCUUUAUCGCUUUCCCUUCAUCUUUUUCUCUUCUCUCCCUCUUCUUCUCUCAUCUUCAUCUUUUCUCUCCUCUCUUUCUCCUUCUUUUCUUUCUCGCCUCUUCAUAUUUCCUUUAUCUUCCUCUUUCUUUCCCCUUCAACUUUUUCUCUUCUCUCCCACCUCUUCUCUCUUCCUCUUCCUCUCUCUCCUUCAUCUUUUCUCUCUCCUCUUGUUCUUCCUUUCUUUCUCUCACCUUUAUCUUUUUCUUUCAUCUCUCCCCCUCUUUCUUUUUCUCCCCUUCUCUUUCUCCUCUUCCCCCUUUCUCCUUCUUCCUCUUUCUUUCCCCCUCUUAUCUCUCUCUUCCCUUCUUUCUCCAUCUUUCUUCUUCCUCCUAUCUUUCUGUCUCCUCUUCUCUCCCUUUUCCUCUUUCUCCCUUUAUUUCUUUCUUGUACUCGCCUUCAUGAGAAAAAAAAAAAGAUGAACAUUUGUAUAAAAAGGCAUAACUUAAAAUUGGCAGGCAAGUUCUCAACUACAUUCUUCUCCUUGAAUGACUUUUUAAAGCCCCCUUUGUUGGUGCUCCAAAACUCAGCAUGCUUUUCUGAAAAGUAUUCAGUGUCUCUUGGACCACAGAACAAGGGGUGCAGCUGA
rnacentral:lncRNA from 1 species